CGCAGCCGCGGUAAUUCCAGCUCCAAUAGCGUAUAUUAAAGUUGUUGCAGUUAAAAAGCUCGUAGUUGAAUUUCGAGAUCAGUACGCUGGUCGUGCCUUUGGUAUGCACUGGUGUCACUGGUUUCUCCCUUCUGAAGAACUGUCAUGCCAUUCAGUUGGUGUGGCGGGGAAUCAGGACUGUUACUUUGAAAAAUUAGAGUGUUUAAAGCAGGCUUGCGCUUGAAUACAUUAGCAUGGAAUAAUGAAAUAGGACGUUUGACCCUAUUUUGUUGGUUUCUAGGAUCGACGUGAUGAUUAAUAGGGAUAGUUGGGGGCAUUAGUAUUCAAUUGUCAGAGGUGAAAUUCUUGGAUUUAUUGAAGACUAACUACUGCGAAAGCAUUUGCCAA
rnacentral:rRNA from 1 species